UUUUGAAAGGGAAACGAUUGAAGCCAGUCGUACCUAUGGGUAAUCAGCCUUUUGGGUGUGAUUCUGUGGGAGUGUGAAGAGUUAAACGCCUUCAUGCCUGCAUAUUCGUGCACUUUGGGUGUACUUGCCCGUGUGGUAGGUUAACAUCAAUUUUGGUUGUCAUAAAAUGGCUGGAGGAAUGUAGCUUCGAUCUCGUAUUGAAGUGUUAUAGACUUCGGUAGAUGUGACGAUCAAGAUUGAGGAUUGCAACGAAUACCCUUCGGGGCUACCUGUCUGAUCUCUGAUUGUUGCUUUGGUGCCGAAAGCGUGCUUACGGUUAUCAAAGUCGGUGGUCAAUAGGUUAAAGGGUUAAAUUCGUU
rnacentral:rRNA from 1 species